UGGGUAUGUUAAUAGCAUACUCAUUUGACGUUAGCUGCAGAAGAAGCACCGGCUAACUCCGUGCCAGCAGCCGCGGUAAUACGGAGGGUGCGAGCGUUAAUCGGAAUUACUGGGCGUAAAGCGCAUGCAGGUGGUUUGUUAAGUCAGAUGUGAAAGCCCGGGGCUCAACCUCGGAAUUGCAUUUGAAACUGGCAAACUAGAGUACUGUAGAGGGGGUAGAAUUUCAGGUGUAGCGGUGAAAUGCGUAGAGAUCUGAAGGAAUACCGGUGGCGAAGGCGGCCCCCCUGGACAGAUACUGACACUCAGAUGCGAAAGCGUGGGGAGCAAACAGGAUUAGAUACCCCGGUAG
rnacentral:rRNA from 1 species